UAAGGAAUAUUGGUCAAUGGAGGCAACUCUGAACCAGCCAUGCCGCGUGCAGGAAGAAGGCCCUAUGGGUCGUAAACUGCUUUUGCCAGGGGAUAAAAUGAGCGUGCGCGCUUAAUUGAAGGUACCUGGUGAAUAAGCCACGGCUAACUACGUGCCAGCAGCCGCGGUAAUACGUAGGUGGCAAGCGUUGUCCGGAUUUAUUGGGUUUAAAGGGUGCGUAGGUGGCCCUGUAAGUCAGUGGUGAAAUAUCUCAGCUUAACUGAGAGGGUGCCAUUGAUACUGCAGGGCUUGAGUACAGAUGAGGUAGGCGGAAUUGACGGUGUAGCGGUGAAAUGCAUAGAUAUCGUCAAGAACACCGAUAGCGAAGGCAGCUUACCAAGCUGUAACUGACACUGAGGCACGAAAGUGUGGGGAUCAAACAGGAUUAGAUACCCCCGUAGUCCCUGAGCGGGCUGGCAAGGCGCAU
rnacentral:rRNA from 1 species